CUACAGGAAAAUACCCUUUUAUGGGCUUUUCUUUGCAUCUGCCCCUAUCUGCAUUAUAAAACUUUUUGAAUAGGAAGAUUUUGUUUCAUUUAAACAACAGGAAUAAAAGAUUCAAACACUGGGUUAGCUGCACCCAACUGGUGGAAUCUUGUUUCUGAUAAACAAAUGAUGCAAGAGGAGCAGCCUCUUCAGGUUGCAAGAUGCACAAAAAUAAUAAACCAGAAUUCUAAGGAAGCAAAGUAUGUAAUAAAUGUCAAGCAAAUUGCCAAGUUUCUUGUUGGUUUGGGCGAUAAAGUUUCACCAACAGAUAUUGAAGAAGGCAUGCAUGUCAGGUAAGUUCAAUUUUCCAUUAUUUAUUUCUUUGACUUUCUUAUUU